UGGGGAAUUUUGGACAAUGGGCGAAAGCCUGAUCCAGCAAUGCCGCGUGUGUGAAGAAGGCCUUCGGGUUGUAAAGCACUUUUGUCCGGAAAGAAAUCCUUGGCUCUAAUACAGUCGGGGGAUGACGGUACCGGAAGAAUAAGCACCGGCUAACUACGUGCCAGCAGCCGCGGUAAUACGUAGGGUGCAAGCGUUAAUCGGAAUUACUGGGCGUAAAGCGUGCGCAGGCGGUUUGCUAAGACCGAUGUGAAAUCCCCGGGCUCAACCUGGGAACUGCACUGGUGACUGGCAGGCUAGAGUAUGGCAGAGGGGGGUAGAAUUCCACGUGUAGCAGUGAAAUGCGUAGAGAUGUGGAGGAAUACCGAUGGCGAAGGCAGCCCCCUGGGCCAAUACUGACGCUCAUGCACGAAAGCGUGGGGAGCAAACAGGAUUAGAUACCCUGGUAGUCCACGCCCUAAACGAUGUCAACUAGUUGUUGGGGAUUCAUUUCCUUAGUAACGUAGCUAACGCGUGAAGUUGACCGCCUGGGGAGUACGGUCGCAAGAUUAAAACUCAAAGGAAUUGACGGGGUCAUGCUGUUUCCU
rnacentral:rRNA from 1 species